CCCCGCAGCGCCUCCACCCCAGAGACCCGGACCAAGUUCACACAGGACAAUCUGUGCCACGCCCAGCGCGAGCGCCUGGACUCGGCCAACCUGUGGGUGCUGGUGGACUGCAUCCUUCGCGACACCUCCGAGGACCUGGGACUCCAGUGUGACGCCGUGAACCUGGCCUUCGGGCGCCGCUGUGAGGAACUGGAGGACGCGCGGCACAAGCUGCAGCACCACCUGCACAAGAUGCUGCGGGAAAUCACAGAUCAGGAACACAACGUGGUGGCACUGAAGGAGGCCAUCAAGGACAAGGAGGAACCUCUGCACAUAGCCCAGACCCGGCUGUAGUUGCUCUCACACCGGCCCAACAUGCAGCUGUGCCGCGAUGCAGCCCAGUUCAGGUGCAUACUUCUGCCCUCCCCAGCCCCAGCUCACACCCCCCAACACCCCCAAGCUGGUGAGUGAGGUGGAGGAGCUGUACAAGUCCAUCACAGCGCUGCGGGAGAAGCUUCUACAAGCGGAGCAGUCCCUGCGCAACCUCAAGGACAUCCACAUGAGCCUGGAGAAGGACGUCACUGCCAUGACCAACAGUCUCUUCAUCGACCGCCAGAAGUGCAUGGCCCAUCGUACUUGCUACCCCACCAUUCUGCAGCUGGCUGGCUACCAGUGAGCAGCGGCACGGUGCUUCCCCCCAAUCCCCCAAAUAAACAGUGCGUUAGCUUUC
rnacentral:lncRNA from 1 species